GACGAACGCUGGCGGCGUGCCUAAUACAUGCAAGUCGAGCGCAGGAAACCGUUCCGAACCCUUCGGGGGGACGACGGUGGAAUGAGCGGCGGACGGGUGAGUAACACGUAAAGAACCUGCCCAUAGGUCUGGGAUAACCACGAGAAAUCGGGGCUAAUACCGGAUGUGUCAUCGGACCGCAUGGUCCGCUGGUGAAAGGCGCUCCGGCGUCGCCCAUGGAUGGCUUUGCGGUGCAUUAGCUAGUUGGUGGGGUAACGGCCCACCAAGGCGACGAUGCAUAGCCGACCUGAGAGGGUGAUCGGCCACACUGGGACUGAGACACGGCCCAGGCUCCUACGGGAGGAAGCAGUAGGGAAUCUUCCACAAUGGACGAAAGUCUGAUGGAGCAACGCCGCGUGAACGAUGAAGGCUUUCGGGUCGUAAAGUUCUGUUGUAAGGGAAGAACAAGUGCCGCAGGCAAUGGCGGCACCUUGACGGUACCUUGCGAGAAAGCCACGGCUAACUACGUGCCAGCCGCCGCGGUAA
rnacentral:rRNA from 1 species